CGACUUGUCGCGUUAUCUCCCCCUCCCCUCCCUCAGUCAGCCAGAUAGCGCAACUCUGGGAACAGGUUGCCGUUUUCCCACUUCCAUGGCCGCCGAGUCGUACAAGCAACUGCUGCUGGAGCCUCUCUCCUGUUCGGACUCGGACAGCAGCGAAGACUUGGAGUGGUCCUGCCGCGACGGGGAUGAGUUGGACUCGGCUGAGAGGGACGAGAGACGUCGGGCCGGGAAAAGACUCAUGGUCGCCUUGGUCAUCAGCCUGGUUUUCAUGGUCGCGGAGGUGCUUGGUGGGUACGCCUCGCACAGUCUGGCCAUCAUGACAGAUGCGGCACAUCUCCUGAGUGACGUCGGCAGCAUCUCGCUGAGCAUCUUCUCUCUGUGGAUCUCGGGACGCACGCCCACUCGCACCUUCACUUUUGGAUGGCGUCGAGCCGAGAUUGUGGGCAUGCUUGUAUCUCUGUCGUCCAUCUGGGCGGUGACGGCUGUGUUGGUGUGGUCGGCCGCUAGGAGGAUCUCCGACGGCGACUACGACAUCGACACUGACAUCAUGCUACUGACUUCGGGCUGCGGCGUGGCCGUCAACGUCCUCAUGGUGCUCAUCCUGCAGCAGUCGGGUGUCUCUCACACCCACAACCACGCCUUGCCCAACGGAUGGCCGCAAAAGGACGAGGCACGGCGGGAUCGCGGCCAUCGUCACGGAAACGCCAGCGUGAAGGCCGCUUGCGUCCAUGCGGCGGGAGACCUGAUCCAGAGUGUCGGCGUACUGCUGGCGGCCGCCGUCAUCCACUUCUGGCCAGAGUGUAAGGUGGCCGACCCUGUCUGCACACUGCUCUUCUCCCUUGUGGUCAUGUGGACUACAUUUCCCACCGCCAGGGAUGUUUUCAGAGUGCUGAUGGAUGGUGCUCCGCCCGGCAUCAGUGUGGCCUCCGUGCACGACGCCUUGCUGGCCGUGCGAGGCGUGUCGUCGCUUCAUCGCCUUCACGUGUGGAGUCUGGACAUGACGCACGCUUUGCUGUGCGUGCACAUCACCGCAGAGGACGGUGCCGAUCCACAUGUCAUACUCAAGAGGGCCACAAAGCUCCUGAGCUCCGAUUUUUGCUUCACCUCCAUUACGAUCCAAGUGGAACCUUGCGCAACAUUCCAGGUGGACAUUUUUUAAUCGUGUACUACCUGUUAUUUUUUCUGAUUACUUUGUAGAAAAAAUAUUUUUGGCACAUUUAUUUGACCAAUCAAUCAAACGGAAAGAAUCAGACAUUUUAUUAAUUUUAAGUACUGAUGUAUUGGGACAUCGUUUGCAAAAAUAGGCUGUAAAUAUGUGAAGUCAUUAAGAUCACAUUAGUCCUGUAUCACAUGGUGGUGAUCAAUUGUGUGUUUCAAAAUGGAGGCGGGGCCAAAAGCUCCUCAGUUGGGCCGUCCAUCCUUCCAGUAGCGCGUGUAGGUUUCUCGAAACAUAUCCCUGCACGCCACUUGGGCUUUGAGUUUGGAGCAGACCAAGAAAGAGCCGCCCAUCUUGCGGUGCAGCGAGUACGUCUCCUCUGGCGGCGGUGCGAGGCGUUCGUGAAGCAUCACCGGAAUGAGGCGGUGGAUGCGCUCCGUGGUGCUCUGAGUGCCAAAGUCAAACGGCUCCGUCGACGAGAAGGCCUCACCCAGAAUCAUCACGGCGUCCACGUGAGCGUUCUCCAUUGCCUUUUGAACAAUGAUAGUUCAAACAAUGCCUGGAUAUUCUUAUUUUUUGCAAACUACCUUAGAUUCAAAUCCGGUGAGUAAUUUCAUGUCUCUGGAGCGCUGCAGGACUUCCUCUCUAUUUUGAUGUGCAGCUGCGUUGAUAAUCUAAUUUUCAAAAGUAUAAGAAAGAAAAAAAAAAAUAGUGUUCCUCUUUCUGUGAUCAGUAAUUAAAAUAAACCUCUAACAUCCCGAGGAUGGAGCAUAACGCGAGUUCACCUCAAUGUAGACGUCUGUGAAACCUUUGUCAAAUUCCCGCGUAGCUCCAAAGUCCAACAGCGCUACCUGUCGACAUUUUUGAUGAGAAUCAAAACAACCCGACUUGAGAUGAAAUCCUGUCAAAGUCAAACAAACCUUAUGCUUGUGCGGGUCAUAGAAGAAGUUGGACCAGUUGGGAUCCGUCUGCAUGAAGCGGAACUCGAAAAGCUCCCUCAGGCACAAAAUGAGGAUUUGCUCACAGAUCUGCAAGAGCAGCGAAAGCAACAAUGCUUCGUACACGCCUGGUCGAUCUGCCCUGAAGUCACACUUACCUCGUUCCGGAGUUCCUGCGGGAGGUCAGUGGCGCGGUCCAGGGGGAAGCCGCUCACCAGUGUGGUGCUUGGCCAAAUGCACUUGACCGAUAGAGGCGGCGGCAAACGGCUUCUCCUCAAAGUAUUCCAAAUUCUUCCGCCAGUCGAGGCCCAGGUCGCUGCUGAUCACCUUCUGCAUGCAACAACAAGGAACACAAUGUCACAAAUGUCCCACAAAAUGCUAACUUCUUGAACCGAAAACUUUACCAUCAUCUGUUUGGUAGGCAUAAAGUCGGCGCUCUGUCGAACCCGUUCAAAGAUUUUGGCCAGCUGAGGGUUGAUGAAAGCGUCAUCUACAAGGAGUGGAGAAUAUGAUUAAAAGUUGAUUCUUCCCGUCAUGACUUAUUCAAGGUCUCACCUUGAAUGCUGAGCAUCUGUCCUAAUUUGAGAGCAGCUCCUCUAACUUUGCACAGCGUCCGCACAAUUCUCUCAGCGUUGGCUUCAGACAGGAAAGUGUUGGAGUCUAGGACAGACUUUUUAUUGGCUGCAGACAAAAAAAUAUAUAUUUUAUGCUAUUUACACACAAAUAUCACUCGUCAUUUUGCAACCUUGUUGUUGUUGAAGAUUCAACUUCUUCUUGGCUGCUUCAGCAAUUGCACCAAUGCCAAGUCCCACAGCCAGGCCUGUCAAAAGAGCAGAGAAUAUAAACGGUGAAAUGCUGCCCUCUACUGGUCUUUUGGUGUAAGCGCCAGACACGCAUCUCCUUCAACCAUUCAUCAAUUCAUUCAAAGACCAAGGUUAUUAUAGUUAACGAAAACUGAUGAUAAAAAAAAACAUUUUACAUAUUUCCCUCAAACAACAACUUAGCUAGUAAAUGCCUCCCAUCAAGGCCGUGCAAUAAAAGCGUUUCAAGAGGACAUACUUCCAAAGCUCAUCAGGCGUCCAAUCCGAGUAAUGGGCACUUUCCUCUCGCGUGCAUUCUUACAGAGCUGAAAUGCAAAGGAGAACCUCAACAAUAUGCUGAGAAAUAUACUGGGGGGGGGGGGAGGAUCAAGCCAUGCUUACCACUUGCUUGUAGGGCUUGAGGUGAGCACUCUUGGCAGCCCUCGCUCUGUCCAUGUCUUCCUCUGACAGCCUCCCAACAGAGGAGUUGUCCUGAGCGAGCAUCCUUCUGAAGGCCCAAGCCAAAGGCCACCUGGCCCUCUUGGUAACGGUUCUAUGGAUCUCACCGCCAUUAUUCAGCCCACCGGCGAACGAUGAGUAGCCACGGAUUUUCUGUUGUAUUCUCAACGUGUCCUUCAACGAGAAAAUAUUGCUCAUUUAAAAAGGCGGUGCUAUUUUUUGUGCCCUCUAGUGGUGAUGAAGCACACUGCAAUAACAAGGAAGCAACUUGUCCCCACACUGCUUUCAAAUCAUCCAUCUUCACACGAGUUUUUAAAGUGGUUAGGUUUUGGUUAUAUUUUCAUUUCUUUUCUAAAUCCUGUCACGUUGCGACUACAGUACUAUAUCCACACACUGAAAGCAUCUGGACGAACCUGAAAGUCAAACUAUUCGUAGAAUCAGGAAAAAGUAGUAAUUAUGGAGUCCCCAGGGGAACCGAGCAGUUUACCAGCAGUCGGGACGGAACAGUGCGCGCUCGGAGUUUAUUUCCGAACGCGCCCACGUUUUUCAAAAUGCAACAUCUCGCCGUGGUUCACCAUUGUUCUUGCAGCAAAACCGACGGCAGCGCUUACGCUCAAACAUCCAGAGUGGGAGCUUCCUCCGGCGGCCAAACAUUCCCCCCGAGCCCGGCCCACCAUCUGCAUGAUCCACGCCAAACCCGUGCGCGCCAGAGCGUCGCCCGUCAUAGUGCUUGUCCGCGACCCACACCUAGAGCACACAUCGAAAGAAUCCCCACUAGCUACUCUUCCUGGGGUCCUUCAGUGAGGGAACGAGUCAAUGGGUGAACUACCUUCCUUCCCGUGCAUCAACGGAUCAGUCAUUGAGGGUGUUGCCUCUCCCUCCUGGCGUGAACCAUGUAAACCAGGAUGUUUUUAAAUAACGUGUAUGCAUAUAUUCAUCUAAUUAUUGCCAAUAUAUCUACUGCAAUUGGUUUUGUCUGAUAUCAGAAAUUAAAUAAAGAAAACCAACUAGCUGA